UGGGGAAUAUUGCACAAUGGAGGGAACUCUGAUGCAGCGACGCCGCGUGAACGAAGAAGGCUUUCGAGUCGUAAAGUUCUUUUAUAUGGGAAGAUAAUGACGGUACCAUAAGAAAAAGCCCCGGCUAACUACGUGCCAGCAGCCGCGGUAAUACGUAGGGGGCUAGCGUUGUCCGGAAUCACUGGGCGUAAAGGGUUCGCAGGCGGAAAUGCAAGUCAGAUGUAAAAGGCAGUAGCUUAACUACUGUAAGCAUUUGAAACUGCAUAUCUUGAGAAGAGUAGAGGUAAGUGGAAUUUUAGUGUAGCGGUGAAAUGCGUAGAUAUUAAAAAGAAUACCGGUGGCGAAGGCGACUUACUGGGCUCAUUCUGACGCUGAGGAACGAAAGCGUGGGUAGCAAACAGGAUUAGAUACCCUGGUAGUCCCUGAGCGGGCUGGCAAGGCGCAU
rnacentral:rRNA from 1 species